rnacentral:rRNA from 1 species
UACGAAGGGGGGCUAGCGUUGCUCGGAAUUACUGGGCGUAAAAGGGCGCGUAGGCGGCACUGUUAGUCAGGCGUGAAAAUUCCUGGGCUCAACCUGGGGGACUGCGCUUGAUACGGCAGAGCUUGAGGAUGGAAGAGGGGUCGCGGAAAUUUCCCCAGUGUAGAGGUGAAAAUUCGUAGAUAUUGGGGAAGAACACCGGUGGCGAAGGCGGCGACCUGGUCCAUUACUGACGCUGAGGCGCGACAGCGUGGGGGAGCAAACAGG